UACGAAGGGGGCAAGCGUUACUCGGAAUUACUGGGCGUAAAGCGUGCGUAGGUGGUUUGUUAAGUCUGCUGUGAAAGCCCCGGGCUCAACCUGGGAAUGGCAGUGGAUACUGGCAAGCUAGAGUGCGGUAGAGGGGUGUGGAAUUCCCGGUGUAGCGGUGAAAUGCGUAGAGAUCGGGAGGAACACCAGUGGCGAAGGCGGCACCCUGGACCAGAACUGACACUGAGGCACGAAAGCGUGGGGAGCAAACAGG
rnacentral:rRNA from 1 species